rnacentral:tRNA from 1 species
ACGCCAGUGGUGUAAUAGCGUAGAGCAUUCCUGCCGGGUCAACGGGAGGUGCGGGUUCGAGUCCCGCCUGGCGCU